AGCCCGCUCAGAAACUCAAAUGAAUUGACGGGGGCCCGCACAAGCGGUGGAGCAUGUGGUUAAUUCGAAGCAACGCGAAGAACCUUACCAGGCCUUGACAUGCAGAGAACUUUCCAGAGAUGGAUUGGUGCCUUCGGGAACUCUGACACAGGUGCUGCAUGGCUGUCGUCAGCUCGUGUCGUGAGAUGUUGGGUUAAGUCCCGUAACGAGCGCAACCCUUGUCCUUAGUUACCAGCACGUUAUGGUGGGCACUCUAAGGAGACUGCCGGUGACAAACCGGAGGAAGGUGGGGAUGACGUCAAGUCCUCAUGGCCUUUAUGACCAGGGCUACACACGUACUACAAUGGCCGAUACAAAGGGCAGCGACACUGCGAGGUGAAGCCAAUCCCGUAAAAUCGGUCUCAGUCCGGAUUGGAGUCUGCAACUCGACUCCAUGAAGUUGGAAUCGCUAGUAAUCGUGGAUCAGCAUGCCACGGUGAAUACGUUCCCGGGCCUU
rnacentral:rRNA from 1 species